GGCGGUUACGUCACAGUGCCAGUUGAAGGCAGUAAUCCCACCCGUGCCAGUCAGCAGCUAAUUUGAAUAUACUGAAAACCAGCUAUAACGGGCGAAUGGCGCAGCAGAUCCGGGCAAGCAACGUUGAUAUAUGCACUAUGGGAAGAUUAGAUAGGAGACUCUCCAUUAGCCAGGAGUUAUUUCGAGGAGUAGUUAUGUUGCCUCUCCAAACCAUCGUCAUUGGGAGACGACACAAGCUACUGAAAAGAACACAUAGGACUGAAGGGAAGUGAAGUCAUCGACAUGGUCACUAUCAGCG